CCUACGGGGGGCAGCAGUGAGGAAUAUUGGUCAAUGGACGCAAGUCUGAACCAGCCAUGCCGCGUGCAGGAAGACGGCGCUAUGAGUUGUAAACUGCUUUUGUACGAGGGUAAAGGCAGAUACGCGUAGCUGUCUGAAAGUAACGUACGAAUAAGGAUCGGCUAACUCCGUGCCAGCAGCCGCGGUAAUACGGAGGAGUCCAGCGUUAUCCGGAUUUAUUGGGUUUAAAGGGUGCGUCGGCGGUCGGAUAAGUUAGAGGUGAAAUCCCGAGGCUCAACUUCGGAAUUGCCUCUGAUACUGUUCGUCUAGAGAGUAGUUGCGGUAGGCGGAAUGUCUGGUGUAGCGGU
rnacentral:rRNA from 1 species